CCUCCCUCCUUCCUUCCUUCCCUCCCUUCCUUCCUUCCCUCCGUUCCCUUCCCUCCCUUCCCCCCAUCUUCCCAUCGUCCCCCCUUCCUUCCUUCCUUCCUUCCUUCCUUCCCUCUACCUCCAUCGCUGCCAUUUGAAGAAGACCAAAGAGGAAUCUCACAUAAAGGUCAACACAUCAUUCACCGUAGACAAACAACAAACCAACACUUCAGAUGUGUUUAAACGUAAGAAAUGUUUGUUGUGAAGUGUAGAAAAUACUUUUUGUCCCCCUCAAUAUGGGUUAUAUCUGCUCUGUGUGUGAUAUUCAUUUUAUACAUUCGGAAUAAAAGUUUUGAAAGAAUC
rnacentral:lncRNA from 1 species